GCCCGGCCCGCUUGACAUACCAGAAAUAGCUGCACACAAUUGUACCUUUCCCGGCCAAGAAACCUCCCCCGCUGGGGAGCGCGGCCCGCCGCCCUCACCUGAGCCCCGGCCAGCUGAGCCCGCUACCCGCUCUCCCGCCGCGAUCCGGCCCAGCCGCCAGGCAUAUUCUACCAGUGCAAGAGAUCAACAAUGAUUACAAAAUUGCUAAAGAAGUCACUUUCAAGAGAUCUGGAGAAGUAAGAUGGCCAAAUAAAAGCCUCUACCAAUCAUCCUCCCCACAGGAACACCAAAUUUAAGAACUAUCUACACAAAAAAGCACCUUCAUAAGAACCAAAAAUCAGAGAGAACAAGGAUAAAGAAGUAUCCAAAUACAAAGAAAAUGUUAUGCAAGUGACCUUUAGAGAUGUUUUAAAGAUGACAAAAUAUUGAUGAAGAUGGGCCAACAAGUGUUACUGUUACCUCUAAUAAAGUUUCAUCACUA
rnacentral:lncRNA from 1 species